AUGUAUCAUGCAGUGUUGAAUGAGCUUCCGGAUUUAACUUGAAACGUCCUUUUCAUUUAAUUGACGACGGUGUAAGGGCAGCUGUAAUUGCGCAGCAGUGAAAGGAGUGCAGUGUAACAUGUUGGUGAAGGUCCAAUACCAAAAAUGCAAGAAGUUCAUGAAGUUGCAGCUUGGUUUCUCUUUGAGAUUUCAUCAGUCAAGGUUUGGACUGCCCACUGCAGCACAAAUCCAAAUGUUUGAUGAUUCCCAAACUGAGGUGGAGGAGGAUGUCCUGCUGGACCUGAAUGAGGCCAAUCCAGACCUGUGCCUCACAAUCAAAGAUCUUGAUGAAUGUGUCUUUCUACAGUCUCACAUAAUCAUAUCGARUAACAUGAAUGUAUAGAUUGAUUGCUUUGAUCCAUUGUUUGUGCUCAGACUUUUUUCAUGCAGGCUGUUCGACACCUAGUUCGUGCACAGACACAUUAUCCCUCUCGUCAAGUGAUUUAGACCUGAGAUCUCCAGGAAUCUCCAUAGACAUUCCCUUCCUAAACCAGACUAUAUUAUCUCUUUCUCUCUCGCUCCCUGACGCUAAGAAGACAUCCUUUACCAACAGGCUACUCAAUUUCUUAUAAGCCUAUCAUGCAAACAAACACUUAUUACUCAUUACGUUUGUACAAAAACAAAAAUUGCAGUCAAUCAUUCACUGGUGUGUCGGCAUCACUAUAAUUUCCAUUUCGACAUUACAUGUAUCCAUCGCAGUGCCAUUCUAUACCGUCGUAGUAAAGUUCUAGGUCAUUGUACAUACCAUAUGUAGGCCAGUGGCGGUCAGUGCCGUUUAAGAUGAGGGAGGGCGAUUUAUUAUAUAUUUUUUCUCUCCAUGAGCA